rnacentral:lncRNA from 1 species
CUAUGCUCAUUACGUCAAAAACUACAUUGGGGGAUAAAGGGAGCAUGUCUGCUUCAAGAGUUGGCAAUUGGGGUUUGUUAGUCUCUCCGCCCACACACUUCCAUCAAACAAUGUCUCAUUCAACUGCAUAAGUCAAAGUUUACAACUCCCCUCUUUCCAGCUGGAACAGGCCUGGGAAGUGUGAACGAAAAUCAUGGCUCACAGAAUCACAGAACAGGCUUGCAGGCCGAGCUGUUCCGAUAGUGCUUGGAGUUUCUUCUCAGCCCACAAGAAGGGUUUCAGUUUCUGCUGAUGGUUGGCAAACUUGAGCCUCUGUGUCACCUGCUUCUAAAGUUUACUGGCCCCAGGUCCGUACAGACCAGUGACCGAGUUGAUCUCCCGCCCACCUCAUCAGUGUUUGCAGCUGCUCCAUCUCUGUGCCUUGGGCUUGGGAGUUUGUCUUCAGGCAUCACCACGUAAGGAAAACAGGCUGCAAACCACACUAAAUACCAACCCUAGACUUUGAAUCCUGAGUGUGGCUUCCUGUGUUAGCCUUAAAAUGGUGUUCCACUCUCCAAGAAAUACGCACUCCUUGGGCACACUGAAGGUGUUGCCUGAUCUUUAAAGGACCUGGGUGAUUAUUUAAGUCAUUUUAGGGAUUCCUUAAACUUUAAAAAAAAAAAAAAAAAAAAGAAAGAAAGAGCAACAGCCAAAGUUUUCAAUUUCAAAGAGGAUCAUUCACACAGGAGAACAAUAAACCUUCCACCAAAUGCUUUUACACAUACACACAAAGAAAUCAUUCUUGAUCUUGCUCUUUUAUCAGUCUGGUGUAUUUUUUCCCAGAUGAUCUAAAAACACAUCUAUAUACUACUAUAUACUACUAUCCCUGUCCUAAAAUUUUAAAAAUCCAGUGUACUUUAACUUCUAUGCCAACCUCAAAAAGGGACAAGCAUUGCUUUACCUAUUUAACCUGUGGAGAAAUGGAGAUUCUGAGAAAAAUAUAUACAUUUUGAAUAUAUUAAGUACAUUUCUUUGAACAUCUUAGGGCAAAGUAAAUAUUGCUUAAAUUCACUUAACUAAGUAGAUGUACUCAUGAAAUUGUGUGGAAAGUAAACAUCUAUAUGUGAGAUCAUGAUUUCUAAUUUUGGAGAGAAUAAUUUUGGCUCUGACAUAUAAUAAAGUCAGAGUAACGCAGCAAAGAGCAUGAUAUGUUUGAUGAUUUGCAUGUACUGUGCCUUUGUCUCUCCCAUGCAGACACUAGAAAAAAAUUCGUAAAAUGGACAAAGGACAAUGAGUUCCUGUGGUUUGGGAUGCUUGUUUAAUUCAUACAUAAUUUAAAUAUCUGAUCAACACCCAUUUCAUUGAAUUCUCAUGACCUCUACUGAGAUAAUGUUAUUUCUUUUUUGAUGUUAAUUGGAAAAACAUUGCUCAAAAUAUAAAAUCAUUAAAAUAUGAGGUAAGAGAAGCUCUGGGGAAUUCUUUAAGGUUUGGGAUAUAGUCUUUGCCCUCAGCAGUUUAUAACCUUGCUGAGAAAUAGCAGUAAAACAGGAAAAGUGUAAAUGUUGAUAUAGCCUGAUUUGCUGAGCCUCUGCUUUGAAGCAGUUGUCCUCAAGUUUAUUUCUGUGUAAGAAUUCCACUGGUGGGGGAGUUCCCAUCUUGGCUCAGUGGUAACAAACCCGACUAGGAUCCACGAGGAUGCGGUUCGACCCCUGGCCUCACUCAGUGGGUUGGGGAUCCGACGUUGCCGUGAGCUGUGUGUAGGUUGCAGACAUGGCUCGGAUCCCAUGUUUCUGUGGCUGUGGUGUAGGCCCACAGCUGCAGUUCUGAUUGGACCUGGGAACCCCCAUAUGCUGCAGGAGGAGAAGUUGAUG